rnacentral:rRNA from 1 species
AUGUCCGCGCGUGAGGGGGAAGGAGAGGGGGUGGCGACAGUGCCGCCGCCGCCGGAACCGCCUCCGAUCAUCACACCGGCGCGUGGGGGUGAGGAUGUAGCGGCCUUGCCGCUGUCACCGGCGUCAUCGCUGCUACCGGAAUGUGGUGCAUCCGAGUCCGACUCUGAUCUGGAUCAGGAUCCGGCCGCCAGGCCUUUGGAUCCAGUGCGACGGAGGAUCCGUUUCAAAGAUGGCCGGAGGGUCGAGAUUUGGCAGGAUGGCUUCGUGUACGCGCACUCGCCGUCGAGAUGGACGACGGUGAGGGAUGAGGAUCACGACAUUCUGACCGGGCGGUACCUGGAUGAUGGUGAAACAAUUCAAACAUGUACACGUUUGCAAAUUGAUUUUUUCGAGAUUCAUGUGCUAGAUCGCUGCCAGGUUCCUUCCAGCGGGGAGGAGCAGAUCGAGAUUGUUGAUCUAACUACUUCGAAGCAUCAAAUCACGAGACCGAACCCGGGGAUUGGAGGAAGGUUCUGGGUGCUUGUAGAUGACGAAGAAGAGGAGUCUGAAGAUCGUCACUCGGCUGCAGCCAAAGGGUCAAUGAUGCACCUGCCAUUGUCGACGUCGGCGGCAGCUGCUAUUGCGCCUUCUUGCUAG